AAUCAACGCUGGCGGCGCGCUUAACACAUGCAAGUCGCACGAGAAAGUGGAGCAAUCCAUGAGUACAGUGGCGCACGGGCGAGUAACACGUGGGUAACCUGCCCUUGAAUGGGGAAUAACCCGGGGAAACCUGGGCUAAUACCGCAUACGCUCCUUUUGGCUCACGCCAGGGGGAGGAAAGGCGCAAGCCGUUCGAGGAGGGGCCCGCGCCGAUUAGCUAGUUGGUAGGGUAAUGGCCACCAAGGCUUUGAUCGGUAGCCGGCCUGAGAGGGCACACGGCCACACUGGCACUGAAACACGGGCCAGACUCCUACGGGAGGCAGCAGUGGGGAAUCUUGCACAAUGGGGGAAACCCUGAUGCAGCGACGCCGCGUGAGCGAUGAA
rnacentral:rRNA from 1 species